rnacentral:tRNA from 1 species
GGCGACGUAGCCAAGUGGUAAGGCAGAGCUCUGCAAAAGCUCCAUCAUGGGUUCGAUUCCCAUCGUCGCCU